rnacentral:rRNA from 1 species
UGGGGAAUAUUGGACAAUGGGCGAAAGCCUGAUCCAGCAAUGCCGCGUGAGUGAUGAAGGCCUUAGGGUUGUAAAGCUCUUUUGGCGGGGACGAUAAUGACGGUACCCGCAGAAUAAGUCCCGGCUAACUUCGUGCCAGCAGCCGCGGUAAUACGAAGGGGACUAGCGUUGUUCGAAAUCACUGGGCGUAAAGCGCACGUAGGCGGAUAUGUCAGUCAGGGGUGAAAUCCCGGGGCUCAACCUCGGAACUGCCCUUGAUACAGCAUGUCUUGAGUCCGAUAGAGGGGGGUGAAAUUCCUGGUGUAGGGGUGAAAUUAGUAGAUAUUAGGAAGAACACCGGUGGCGAAGGAAAUCCCCUGGACCUGUACUGACGCUCAUGCACGAAAGCGUGGGGAGCAAACA